UACGUAGGGUGCAAGCGUUGUCCGGAAUUAUUGGGCGUAAAGAGCUCGUAGGCGGUCUGUCGCGUCGGAUGCGAAAAUCAGGGCUCAACCCUGGACCUGCAUUCGAUACGGGCAGACUAGAGUUCGGUAGGGGAGACUGGAAUUCCUGGUGUAGCGGUGAAAUGCGCAGAUAUCAGGAGGAACACCGGUGGCGAAGGCGGGUCUCUGGGCCGAAACUGACGCUGAGGAGCGAAAGCGUGGGGAGCAAACGGG
rnacentral:rRNA from 1 species